ACGUUAGCGGCGGACGGGUGGGUAACACGUGGGUAACCUACCUAUAAGACUGGGAUAACUUCGGGAAACCGGAGCUAAUACCGGAUAAUAUUUCGAACCGCAUGGUUCGAUAGUGAAAGAUGGUUUUGCUAUCACUUAUAGAUGGACCCGCGCCGUAUUAGCUAGUUGGUAAGGUAACGGCUUACCAAGGCGACGAUACGUAGCCGACCUGAGAGGGUGAUCGGCCACACUGGAACUGAGACACGGUCCAG
rnacentral:rRNA from 1 species